UGUUUUUCUCAUGUGCCUACUGUAUGGAAGGCAUUGCUCUAGGUUCUAGAGAUGCAGAGAUAAAAGGUGACUUCCAUCUUUGAGAAGUGGACAGUGAGACUACCCAGUGGAAUCAUUUAUAGAAGCAUGAGGAGCUGAGGUCAUGUUAAAGGACUCUAUAAAGACACCAUCAGCAAAAUUCAGACAGCGGGAAACUACAGGGCAAACACCGGACUUCCUCAGUAAAUACACUACAACGGGCAAAAGUCGAAGAGUAUGUCUUGGUUAUAGAAAUUCACGUCAGAGCAGCGAAGUGGCUUCUGUUUAAAGCAGAAUGUUUUCAGGAGUGACGUGUCAACCUGGAGGAUCUUGGGAUCCACUCUUGCCCUUCCUGGCCCCACCUGCAGCUGUUCUGGUUACACCUUCAGGGGUGUGAGAGGAUUGUUACUUGAUGAGAAGCACCCCACCAAGAUGAGAGGUGGGGGGAUUGCAUAAAGACAUAUUUCCUUUCACGUUAAAAGAGAGAAAAUAAAAGAGCAAGGGAAAUCACAGUAAUAUAAUUUUUUAAAAUCCUUGUUAGGCAGCACUUCAGGCAGGAGAAAGGUGUUGAGAAAUCAAGUAAACAAUGACAGCACACCAGGACUCCCAAAAGGCUAGGUGUUGCUUGUGGAAGCCGCCUGAGAAACAGAAAGGACACACUCAGGAUAAAAAUGAAAUAAAAAGUGGAUCAUGGUGGUGAGAAGAAAGGAAAUUCCACCUCUGAUCCGCAUCUCACAAAUGCAUAAACUGCUUUAUUGUUUUGCUGAGAAGCUCACAAAAUGCAUAAACCACUUUACUGAAACAAAGACUAAUACCCUUGAUGGCUCCUGCCACCUCUGCCAGCCCUGCUCAGAGGGAUGAGAACCUUCCAUCUGCCCUUGGCCCAUCCAGACCCUCAACCAGUUUGGGUCAAGAUAGCCUGCAAAGUUCUGGGCUCCCAACUGGCCAGCCAGUGGAGUCUGGAAGCAAUUCUGCAGCCGUGACAUCUAAUGCAUAUGGGGUGAGUCUCACAUACACCCAUGUCCACUGAGCAGCAGCUUCCCCCAUGACCCUCGCCAAUCUGGCAAGUAGAAAAACAAUGGCUCUGGGCACGGGUUCAAAUCCCAGCUCUGCUACUUCCCAGUUGAAUGAUCUUGGACAAAUUACCUAACGGUUCUCUGUCUGUUUUCUCCCGUCAAUUCACAAGGCU
rnacentral:lncRNA from 1 species